rnacentral:rRNA from 1 species
UACGUAGGGUGCGAGCGUUACUCGGAAUUACUGGGCGUAAAGCGUGCGCAGGCGGUUUUGUAAGCCAGAUGUGAAAUCCCCGGGCUUAACCUGGGAAUGGCAUUUGGGACUGCAAGGCUCGAGUGCGGCAGAGGAGACUGGAAUUCCUGGUGUAGCAGUGAAAUGCGUAGAUAUCAGGAGGAACACCGAUGGCGAAGGCAGGUCCCUGGGCUGACACUGACGCUCAUGCACGAAAGCGUGGGGAGCAAACAGG